GCUGGGCAUGGUGGUGGGCGCCUGUAAUCCCAGCUACUUAGGAGGCUGAGGCAGGAGAAUUGCUUGAACCCGGGAGAUGGAGGUUGCAGUGAGCCGAGAUCACACCACUGCACUCCAGCCUGGGUGACAGAGCAAGACUCUGUCUCAA
rnacentral:SRP_RNA from 1 species